AUUGAACGCUGGCGGCAUGCCUUACACAUGCAAGUCGAACGGCAGCGGACCUUCGGGUGCCGGCGAGUGGCGAACGGGUGAGUAAUGCAUCGGAACGUACCUUUCAGUGGGGGAUAACGUAGCGAAAGUUACGCUAAUACCGCAUAUUCUGUGAGCAGGAAAGCAGGGGAUCGCAAGACCUUGCGCUGAUUGAGCGGCCGAUGUCAGAUUAGCUAGUUGGGGAGGUAAAGGCUCACCAAGGCGACUAUCUGUAGCGGGUCUGAGAGGAUGAUCCGCCACACUGGAACUGAGACACGGUCCAGACUCCUACGGGAGGCAGCAGUGGGGAAUUUUGGACAAUGGGGGCAACCCUGAUCCAGCCAUGCCGCGUGAGUGAAGAAGGCCUUCGGGUUGUAAAGCUCUUUCGGCCGGGAAGAAAUCGCACGGGCUAAUACCCUGUGUGGAUGACGGUACCGGAAUAAGAAGCACCGGCUAACUACGUGCCAGCAGCCGCGGUAAUAC
rnacentral:rRNA from 1 species